GGGGCCAUGGCUUAGUGGUAGAGCAUCUGGUUGGCAUGCAAAAGGUCUCAGGUUCGAGCCCCGGCAUUUCCA
rnacentral:tRNA from 1 species